GGGCCAUAGCUCAGCGGGAGAGCAUCUGCUUUGCAUGCAGAAGGUCCCAGGUUCAAUCCCCAAUGGCAUCG